AGUGAACGCUGGCGGUAGGCCUAACACAUGCAAGUCGAACGGCAGCACAGUAAGAGCUUGCUCUUACGGGUGGCGAGUGGCGGACGGGUGAGGAAUACAUCGGAAUCUACUUUUUCGUGGGGGAUAACGUAGGGAAACUUACGCUAAUACCGCAUACGACCUACGUGUGAAAGCAGGGGAUCUUCGGACCUUGCGCGAUUGAAUGAGCCGAUGUCGGAUGAGCUCGUUGGCGGGGUAAAGGCCCACCACGGCGACGAUCCGUAGCUGGUCUGAGAGGAUGAGCCGCCACAUUGGAACUGAGAAACGGUCCAGACUCCUACGGGAGGCAGCAGUGGGGAAUAUUGGACAAUGGGCGCAAGCCUGAUCCAGCCAUACCGCGUGGGUGAAGAAGGCCUUCGGGUUGUAAAGCCCUUUUGUUGGGAAAGAAAAGCAGCAGGUUAAUACCCCGCUGUUCUGACGGUACCCAAAGAAUAAGCACCGGCUAACUUCGUG
rnacentral:rRNA from 1 species